CAGUCCGCGGGAAAACGUAGGUGGCGAGCGUUAUCCGGAAUUAUUGGGCGUAAAGGGUGCGUAGGCGGCCUGUUAAGUAAGUGGUUAAAUUGUUGGGCUCAACCCAAUCCAGCCACUUAAACUGGCAGGCUAGAGUAUUGGAGAGGCAAGUGGAAUUCCAUGUGUAGCGGUAAAAUGCGUAGAUAUAUGGAGGAACACCAGUGGCGAAGGCGGCUUGCUAGCCAAAGACUGACGCUCAUGCACGAAAGUGUGGGGAGCAAAUAGGAUUAGAUACCCCCGUAGUCCCUGUCUCUUAUACACA
rnacentral:rRNA from 1 species